CAUCCGUCGCAAAUAACUAACAUAUUCCUUAUUUUCUUCUAUUUAUUUUUCCCUUUUCCUUAUAUUUGCCCUAGCCCUUCACAAUGAUCGUUCUCUUUCUUGCGCGAGCUCUCUUUCAGUCUCUCUCUCAGUCUCACACAUUGCUUUUCCUGAUUCUUUUGAAUUCGAUCAUUGAAGGUACGCGCUCUCUCUCGCUCUCUCUCUCAAGUUUCUUUCUCUUCUUCUUCUUGAUUUCUGAUUUGAAUCUGCACCUAGGGUUUCGAUCGAGUUCAAGGUGAUUUAUUGUCUGGAAGGAGCACAAAUUGGCAUACUAUAUGAGACAUCUUUUGCAGGUGAUUGUUUACAGAGAUAUUGUUACCUUUUUAAUGAUUUGUCAUCUUAAUAAGAGGGUUGUCUUAUUGCCUCCAAAGUUGAGAGAUCUGCAAUUUGGAGGUCAUAUAAAAUCUGGUGAGUGUUUUAUUUUAUUUUUAAGAUAAUGCUAGUGUGACUAAAAUCUAUUGGCAUGCAUAUGAAAUACGAUUUAUGCUGUGUCAUUUUAUUGUAGUUUUGUUCUGUGAGUGCGGAAUUUUGAUAUCAAUAUAACAUUGGAUUAGGACCAUAAAUCCUGCUUAAGUCUAAUUAGUUAUAGCAGUUCAUCCUCCAGUAGAACACUGGGACACUAUUUUGUUGUUCUUGUGACUAUGACACUAGGGACAUCAAUGGCUACUCAUCAAGGAACAGAAGCUAUGGCUGCUCGUCAAAUAUGCUUACAAGUAUGGUUGGGUUGUAUCUCUCCUUAUGGAUGCACUGGCAGCAUCUGGUCAAGCGAGAAAGAAUUUGUCUAGGAAAGUUGCACACCUUUGUCAUCUUCUUCAGGCUCCAUUGAGGGUUCUUUCACAUUUGUCUCUGGAAGGUAUGUAGACAAUUCACUAUUUGUAUAAAUUUCUAUUUUUUUAAAACCAACGAACUCUGAAGCACUCAAUGAUGAUAUCUGCUCUCUUAUUUCUUAUCUGGAUGAGUUUACGUAGAUAAUUUGGCAUUUCCUUUGUUCUU